UUUUAAAUCUCCGGCUAUAGCUGCCGCUAUAGCCGGAUUUAGCUGCUAGAGCAUAGUACCGCUAGGAGACUUUACUUUUAACGCUAUCAUCUGCGACACGCUAAUAGCCGGAGUUAGCUGGUGAUUUCCGCUAAAUGGGCCAAACUAUAGCGCCCGCUAAAGCUUUCUGCCGGCCCAAAAUAAAUCGUUGUGGCGCGGCCCAACUUAUUUCCCUCCCAUGCUCACCUGGUGAGGCAAACCCUAGAUCGUUUCCCCUGCCUCACGCUCAAAAUGGAGGCGGCGGCGGCGGCUGCUGCUGGUUCUUCUUGAACCGGAGGUGGCGCUGGCUGCUGCUCCUCCUCCUCCUCUUGCAACCUUCGACCAAGAUCUGGAGGCGAGGAAGAAGACAAGUUCCUGCACUCUUCAGUCCUCUGCAAUCCCUCAUCUCCCGCAAGCAACAACAUCAGCACUUCAGCAGCAGUCGGCGGCUACGAGCCUGAGGCUGGACCGCCGGACACCGGAGGCGAGCAAGAUAAAGAUGUCCUCUCCACGCCUCCUCAAUCCUCAGUGCUCACUCUGCAGUGCUCACCUCUCCCGAUCUCCCCCAAGACGCAAAAACAGCUACCAUGUCUCAGCCGGAGCACGAGCAAGCAACAGACAACUAAAAGCAACAAAUGCAAUCGCGUCCGUCUUGUCAUUCUUCAAGAUAACGGGGCCGCACUGUACAAGCGAGGGGGGAGACUCCGUGGCCUGUGGGCGAGGAGAUCGAUGGCAGGGGUAUGGUUCCAAUUCCAAACCUCCCAAGCAGCAUGUGUUUAGGGACGGGGAGCUACUGCAUCGAAGUUCCAGCGGCGAGCGGGGCUGCGUUUCAUGCGCAGCAAAAUCAGUAGCAUCCCUACAUUCAUGUCAAGCCGGCCAUGGCAAAUGGGCAGCACAUUCGCAACUGCAGGCGAUGGAGCAUUAGCUUAUGGACAAGCCGGAUCCUCGUCGAAAACCAGCAAGAUCCUCAUGCUACUCCUCCCCCAUCACCCGCCGCCAUCAGGGGAGUCUCUUAUCAUUGUCUGUUUGGACCCAGCAAGAGUAGCAGGGUUGUCGUCCUCGCCUCCGGCCAAUUCCAUCGACGGCGGGAUCCUCAUGCGUGCUGCUACUCCCUGACAGGCGAUGGAUGUGUCAUCUGCGAGAGCCAUGGGCACCGGGCACGACGAAGUUGCGGAGCUGCGGAGGAACGGAUUGGCAAGGGAAGCGGACGGUGGGGACUGGGGAGAACCACCACGGACGGGGAGGAGCAGCAGGCAGCGAUUGGGUCGGAGAUCGCGUCGGACUGGGUUGGUGCCGCGCGAGCAGGUUGGAGGUGUCUUUUGGCCCACUUGUCAAUGAUGGAUAACUAUCAAAAGUCGAAGUACUGCAGAAACAGUUCGCUCUUUAGAAAUAGGUAAAGAAAUGGAAUAGUAUCAGUAAGCAGCAGUUGUGUCAUAAUAGGAUUCACAGCUGGAUCGGAGCAGAAGAGUUGGGGAGAAAAGAUAAACUGAUGCCCAUAUGAAGACAAUGGAGUUACUGGAUCACCUGGAUGACGGACGAAGCGAACGGGCAACGGACGAAGCGAACGGGCAGAAUUAAUGAAGGAUUCAUUGUUUGCUUUAGAAAUAGGUAUAAUUUUUUUCCUUCCAGUACUGCUGAACUUGGUGGACUUUGUAAUUUCAUUGCUCACGAGUAAUGAAAUUCGGGCGCGGCACUUAGUGGAAAAA